UACAGAGGGGGGCAAGCGUUGUUCGGAAUUACUGGGCGUAAAGGGCGCGUAGGCGGCCUGUUAAGUCGAACGUGAAAUCCCCGGGCUCAACCCGGGAACUGCGUCCGAUACUGGCAGGCUUGAAUCCGGGAGGAGGAUGCGGAAUUCCAGGUGUAGCGGUGAAAUGCGUAGAUAUCUGGAGGAACACCGGUGGCGAAGGCGGCAUCCUGGACCGGCAUUGACGCUGAGGCGCGAAAGCCAGGGGAGCAAACGGG
rnacentral:rRNA from 1 species